rnacentral:rRNA from 1 species
AACGAACGCUGGCGGCAGGCUUAACACAUGCAAGUCGAACGGGUGUAGCAAUACAUCAGUGGCAGACGGGUGAGUAACACGUGGGAACCUUCCUCGUUGUACGGAACAACUCAGGGAAACUUGAGCUAAUACCGUAUACGUCCGAGAGGAGAAAGAUUUAUCGCAAUGAGACGGGCCCGCGUCGGAUUAGCUAGUUGGUAGGGUAACGGCCUACCAAGGCGACGAUCCGUAGCUGAUCUGAGAGGAUGAUCAGCCACACUGGGACUGAGACACGGCCCAGACUCCUACGGGAGGCAGCAGUGGGGAAUCUUGGACAAUGGGCGCAAGCCUGAUCCAGCCAUGCCGCGUGAGUGAAGAAGGCCUUAGGGUUGUAAAGCUCUUUUGCCAGGGACGAUAAUGACGGUACCUGGAGAAUAAGCCCGGCGAAACUUUGUGCCAGCAGCCGCGGUAAUACGAAGGGGGUGCUAGCGUUGUUCCGGGAUUUUACUGGGCGUAAAGCGCACGUAGGCGGAUUGUUAAGUCAGGGGUGAAAUCCCGGAGCUCAACUCCGGAACUGCCUUUGAUACUGGCAAUCUUGAGGCUGGAAGAGGUUAGUGGGAUUCCCCAGUGUAG